rnacentral:rRNA from 1 species
AGAGUUUGAUCCUGGCUCAGGAUGAACGCUGGCGGCGUGCCUAACACAUGCAAGUCGAACGAAGCACUUUAUUACGAUUUCUUCGGAAUGACGAUUUGGUGACUGAGUGGCGGACGGGUGAGUAACGCGUGGAUAACCUGCCCCAUACAGGGGGAUAACAGUUAGAAAUGACUGCUAAUACCGCAUAAGCGCACAGUAUCGCAUGAUACGGUGUGAAAAACUCCGGUGGUAUGGGAUGGAUCCGCGUCUGAUUAGCCAGUUGGCGGGGUAGAGGCCCACCAAAGCGACGAUCAGUAGCCGACCUGAGAGGGUGACCGGCCACAUUGGGACUGAGACACGGCCCAAACUCCUACGGGAGGCAGCAGUGGGGAAUAUUGCACAAUGGGGGAACCCUGAUGCAGCGACGCCGCGUGAGCGAAGAAGUAUUUCGGUAUGUAAAGCUCUAUCAGCAGGGAAGAAGAAAGUGACGGUACCUGACUAAGAAGCUCCGGCUAAAUACGUGCCAGCAGCCGCGGUAAUACGUAUGGAGCAAGCGUUAUCCGGAUUUACUGGGUGUAAAGGGAGCGUAGGCGGUGCUAUAAGUCUGAUGUGAAAGCCCGGGGCUCAACCGCGGGACUGCAUUGGAAACUGUAGGACUGGAGUGUCGGAGGGGUAAGUGGAAUUCCUAGUGUAGCGGUGAAAUGCGUAGAUAUUAGGAGGAACACCGGUGGCGAAGGCGGCUUACUGGACGACAACUGACACUGAGGCUCGAAAGUGUGGGUAGCAAACAGGAUUAGAUACCCUGGUAGUCCACACCGUAAACGAUGAUUACUAGGUGUUGGAGGAUUGACCCCUUCAGUGCCGCAGUUAACACAAUAAGUAAUCCACCUGGGGAGUACGACCGCAAGGUUGAAACUCAAAGGAAUUGACGGGGGCCCGCACAAGCAGUGGAGUAUGUGGUUUAAUUCGACGCAACGCGAAGAACCUUACCAAGUCUUGACAUCCUGCGACGAUGCUAGAAAUAGUAUUUUCCUUCGGGACGCAGAGACAGGUGGUGCAUGGUUGUCGUCAGCUCGUGUCGUGAGAUGUUGGGUUAAGUCCCGCAACGAGCGCAACCCUUAUGGUCAGUUACUACGCAAGAGGACUCUGGCCAGACUGCCGUUGACAAAACGGAGGAAGGUGGGGAUGACGUCAAAUCAUCAUGCCCUUUAUGACUUGGGCUACACACGUGCUACAAUGGCGUUAAACAAAGAGAAGCAAGACCGCGAGGUGGAGCAAAACUCAGAAACAACGUCCCAGUUCGGACUGCAGGCUGCAACUCGCCUGCACGAAGUCGGAAUUGCUAGUAAUCGUGGAUCAGCAUGCCACGGUGAAUACGUUCCCGGGACUUGUACACACCGCCCGUCACACCAUGAGAGCCGGGGGGACCCGAAGUCGGUAGUCUAACCGCAAGGAGGACGCCGCCGAAGGUAAAACUGGUGAUUGGGGUGAAGUCGUAACAAGGUA